AACGAACGCUGGCGGCAUGCCUAACACAUGCAAGUCGAACGAGACCUUCGGGUCUAGUGGCUCACGCGUGCGUAACGCGUGGGAACCUGCCCUUAGGCUCGGAAUAACUCCUCGAAAGGGGUGCUAAUAUCGGAUAAUGUCUUCGGACCAAAGAUUUAUCGCCUUUGGAUGGGCCCGCGUUGGAUUAGCUAGUUGGUAGGGUAAAAGCCUACCAAGGCGACGAUCCAUAGCUGGUCUGAGAGGAUGAUCAGCCACACUGGGACUGGGACACGGCCCAGAAUCCUACGCGAGGCAGCAGUGGCGAAUAUUGGACAAUAGGCGAAGGCAUGAACCAGCUAGGCCGCGUGAGUGAUGAAGGCGUUAGGGUUGUAAAGCUCGUUUACCCGGGAUGAUAAUGACAGUACCGGGAGAAUAAGCGCCGGCUAACUUCGUG
rnacentral:rRNA from 1 species